GUCGAGCGAACGGACGAGAAGCUUGCUUCUCUGAUGUUAGCGGCGGACGGGUGAGUAACACGUGGAUAACCUACCUAUAAGACUGGGAUAACUUCGGGAAACCGGAGCUAAUACCGGAUAAUAUUUUGAACCGCAUGGUUCAAAAGUGAAAGACGGUCUUGCUGUCACUUAUAGAUGGAUCCGCGCUGCAUUAGCUAGUUGGUAAGGUAACGGCUUACCAAGGCAACGAUGCAUAGCCGACCUGAGAGGGUGAUCGGCCACACUGGAACUGGGACACGGUCCAGACUCCUACGGGAGGCAGCAGUAGGGAAUCUUCCGCAAUGGGCGAAAGCCUGACGGAGCAACGCCGCGUGAGUGAUGAAGGUCUUCGGAUCGUAAAACUCUGUUAUUAGGGAAGAACAUAUGUGUAAGUAACUGUGCACAUCUUGACGGUACCUAAUCAGAAAGCCACGGCUAACUACGUGCCAGCAGCCGCGGUAAUACGUAGGUGGCAAGCGUUAUCCGGAAUUAUUGGGCGUAAAGCGCGCGUAGGCGGUUUUUUAAGUCUGAUGUGAAAGCCCACGGCUCAACCGUGGAGGGUCAUUGGAAACUGGAAAACUUGAGUGCAGAAGAGGAAAGUGGAAUUCCAUGUGUAGCGGUGAAAUGCGCGGAGAUAUGGAGGAACACCAGUGGCGAAGGCGACUUUCUGGUCUGUAACUGACGCUGAUGUGCGAAAGCGU
rnacentral:rRNA from 1 species